UCCCACACACUUUUCAUCACCCACUCGCGCAUAACAUCUGGGGCCUCUACUCCCAUCCUACCAUCCUGUGAGCUGUCCAGGUUCCGUGUCCAACAAUACUCAGAGAGUUGGUAUCCUUAGGAGUUGGGUGCUGAACUGUGCACUUACUGAUUUGCUUUUCACUCCUGGGCGUUUGCAGUCUUCUUACCAAGGGACUGAAAUCAUCUCCACCCAUUUUAAGGCCCUCGCUCACCAGGAGAUUAACCCGUCAGGCCGCCGAGUGAGAAGGGACAGAGCAGACCCUGACAGGAGGCCGCAAUGCAGGGGAAAUCAAAACAAAUCCACCUGCUCAGGGAAGACUUUCCAGACACCUCGUCCCCCUGCAGACAUCUGUGGCAAGUGUCAUUGCAACCACUGGUGUGGCACUGGGUCAUUUAUGACUGCCUCAUGACAUUGUUUUUCACUGUUGUCUUUGCACUGAUGUUUGACGACUUUGUGUGAUGGUCUCUUCUCACUGCACAAAUAAACCAUGGCACCUGGAAGGCGGGGAGCA